rnacentral:snRNA from 1 species
GUAGCACAUUUACUAUUAAUAAAAUUGGAAUGAUUUAGAGAAGAUUAGCAUGGUCCCUGAGGAAGGAUGACACACAAAUUCAUGAAGUGUUCCAUAUUUUU